GACGAACGCUGGCGGCGUGCUUAACACAUGCAAGUCGAACGGGAAGGCCCUGCUUUUGUGGGGUGCUCGAGUGGCGAACGGGUGAGUAACACGUGAGUAACCUGCCCUUGACUUUGGGAUAACUUCAGGAAACUGGGGCUAAUACCGGAUAGGAGCUCCUGCUGCAUGGUGGGGGUUGGAAAGUUUCGGCGGUUGGGGAUGGACUCGCGGCUUAUCAGCUUGUUGGUGGGGUAGUGGCUUACCAAGGCUUAGACGGGUAGCCGGCCUGAGAGGGUGACCGGCCACAUUGGGACUGAGAUACGGCCCAGACUCCUACGGGAGGCAGCAGUGGGGAAUAUUGCACAAUGGGCGGAAGCCUGAUGCAGCAACGCCGCGUGCGGGAUGACGGCCUUCGGGUUGUAAACCGCUUUCGCCUGUGACGAAGCGUGAGUGACGGUAAUGGGUAAAGAAGCACCGGCUAACUACGUG
rnacentral:rRNA from 1 species